rnacentral:hammerhead_ribozyme from 1 species
AUCCAGCUGAAGAUUCCCAAAUAGGACGAAAUACACGUCCUGGAU